rnacentral:rRNA from 1 species
CAAGCGUUACAAAGGGCGUUUGGUGGAUGCCUUGGCAGUCAGAGGCGAUGAAGGACGUGGCAGGCUGCGAAAAGCCGCGGGGAGUGGUCAACACACUUUGAUCCGCGGAUGUCCGAAUGGGGAAACCCAACUCAUUAGAGUUAUCUUACAGUGAAUACAUAGCUGUAUGAAGCAAACCCGGGGAAUUGAAACAUCUUAGUACCCGGAGGAAAGGAAAUCAACCGAGACUCCGUUAGUAGUGGCGAGCGAACGCGGAUCAGCCAAGUGGCUGGAAAGUAAAAACUGGAAGUGUCUGGAAAGGCACGCCAUAGUGGGUGAUAGCCCCGUACAGGUAAAAAGCUUUCUAGUCCUAGAGUAGGGCGGGACACGUGUAAUCCUGUCUGAAUAUGGGGGGCCCAUCCUCCAAGGCUAAGUACUCCUGACUGACCGAUAGUGCACAAGUACCGUGAGGGAAAGGUGAAAAGAACCCCUAUUAGGGGAGUGAAACAGACCUGAAACCGAACGCUUACAAUCAGUUGGAGCCCCUUAUGGGGUGACAGCGUACCUUUUGUAUAAUGGGUCCGCGACUUAAUCUUGCAUGCAAGCUUAAUCCGAUAGGAGGAGGCGUAGCGAAAGCGAGUCUGAAAUGGGCGAAUGAGUAUGUAGGAUUAGACCCGAAACCCGGUGAUCUAGGCAUGGGCAGGUUGAAGUUAGGGUAACACCUAAUGAAGGACCGAACCCACAUCUGUUGAAAAAGAUGGGGAUGACCUGUGCCUAGGGGUGAAAGGCCAAUCAAACCGGGUAAUAGCUGGUUCUCCGCGAAAUCUAUUUAGGUAGAGCGUCGUAUGAAUACCCUCGGGGGUAGAGCACUGGAUGGGCUAGGGGGGAGCAAUCCUUACCAAACCUAACCAAACUCCGAAUACCGAGGAGUAAUGUACGGCAGACAGACCAUGGGUGAUAACGUCCGUGGUCGAGAGGGAAACAACCCAGAUCUACAGCUAAGGUCCCCAAAUAAUGACUAAGUGGAAAAGGAUGUAGGAAGUCCAUGACAACCAGGAGGUUGGCUUAGAAGCAGCCACCCUUUAAAGAUAGCGUAACAGCUCACUGGUCUAAAUAAGACUUCCCGCGCCGAAGAUGUACCGGGGCUAAAGUCAUUUACCGAAGCUUGGAAUGCACUUUGUGCAUGGUAGCGGAGCGUUCCGUAAGCCUGCGAAGGAUAACCGUGAGGAAAUCUGGAGGUAUCGGAAGUGAGAAUGCGGACAUGAGUAGCGACAAAGAGUGUGAGAGACACUCUCGCCGAAAGCCCAAGGUUUCCUGCGCAAGGCUAAUCCGCGCAGGGUGAGCCGGCCCCUAAGACGAGGCAGAAAUGCGUAGUCGAUGGGAAUCACGUUAAUAUUCGUGAGCCUGAUGGAGUGUGACGGUGGCCGUAAAUCGUAUUUCCUUAUUGGAUUGGAAAUGCGGUGAAGGACAUCCAGGAAAUAGCCCCAUCAUAUAGACCGUACCCCAAACCGACACAGGUGGGCAGGUCGAGUAGACCAAGGCGCUUGAGAGAACUGUUCUGAAGGAACUCGGCAAAUUGCACCCGUAACUUCGGAAGAAGGGUGACCUCUGUUAAGGCAACUUUUCAGGGGUGGCACAGACUAGGGGGUGGCGACUGUUUAUCAAAAACAUAGGGCUCUGCGAAGUCGUAAGACGACGUAUAGGGUCUGACGCCUGCCCGGUGCUGGAAGGUUAAGAGGAGGUGUGCAAGCACUGAAUUGAAGCCCCAGUAAACGGCGGCCGUAACUAUAACGGUCCUAAGGUAGCGAAAUUCCUUGUCGGGUAAGUUCCGACCUGCACGAAUGGCGUAACGACUUCCCCACUGUCUCCAGAGCAGACUCAGCGAAAUUGAAUUGCCUGUUAAGAUGCAGGCUACCCGCGGUUAGACGGAAAGACCCUAUGAACCUUUACUAUAGCUUUACAGUGGCAUUAGGCUUGUCAUGUGCAGUAUAGGUGGGAGACUUUGAAGCCGGGACGCUAGUACCGGUGGAGUCAACAAGUGAAAUACCACCCUUGGCACGUUUGAUGUCUAACCAUGUACCAUUAUCUGGUACUGGGACCCUGUAUGGUGGGUAGUUUGACUGGGGCGGUCGCCUCCUAAAUGGUAACGGAGGCGCGCGAUGGUGAGCUCAAGACGGUCGGAAAUCGUCUUCAAGAGUGCAAUGGCAUAAGCUCGCCUGACUGCGAGACUGACAAGUCGAGCAGAGACGAAAGUCGGUCAUAGUGAUCCGGUGGUUCCGCAUGGAAGGGCCAUCGCUCAACGGAUAAAAGGUACUCUAGGGAUAACAGGCUGAUAGCGCCCAAGCGUCCACAGCGACGGCGCUGUUUGGCACCUCGAUGUCGGCUCAUCUCAUCCUGGGGCUGUAGCAGGUCCCAAGGGUAUGGCUGUUCGCCAUUUAAAGAGGUACGUGAGCUGGGUUCAGAACGUCGUGAGACAGUUCGGUCCCUAUCUGCCGUGGGUGUUGGAAUCUUGAGAAGAGCUGCCCUUAGUACGAGAGGACCGGGGUGGACGAACCUCUAGUGUACCAGUUGUUCCGCCAGGAGCACCGCUGGGUAGCUACGUUCGGACGGGAUAACCGCUGAAAGCAUCUAAGCGGGAAGCCUCCUUCAAAACUAGGAUUCCCUAUCAGAGCCGUGGAAGACCACCACGUUGAUAGGCUGGAUGUGGAAGUGUGGUAACACAUGAAGCUAACCAGUACUAAUUGCUCGAUCGGCUUGAAUUCAU